AUUGAACGCUGGCGGAACGCUUUACACAUGCAAGUCGAACGGUAACGUGGGGAGGAGCUUGCUCCACCCCGACGACGAGUGGCGAACGGGUGAGUAAUACAUCGGAACGUGUCCGCUCGUGGGGGACAACCAGCCGAAAGGUUGGCUAAUACCGCAUGAGUUCUACGGAAGAAAGAGGGGGAUCCGCAAGGGCCUCUCGCGAGCGGAGCGGCCGAUGACUGAUUAGCCGGUUGGUGAGGUAACGGCUCACCAAAGCAACGAUCAGUAGCUGGUCUGAGAGGACGAUCAGCCACACUGGGACUGAGACACGGCCCAGACUCCUACGGGAGGCAGCAGUGGGGAAUUUUGGACAAUGGGCGCAAGCCUGAUCCAGCUAUUCCGCGUGUGGGAUGAAGGCCCUCGGGUUGUAAACCACUUUUGUAGAGAACGAAAAGACACCAUCGAAUAAAUGGUGUUGCUGACG
rnacentral:rRNA from 1 species